CCUACGGGAGGCAGCAGUGAGGAAUAUUGGUCAAUGGACGAGAGUCUGAACCAGCCAAGUAGCGUGAAGGAUGACUGCCCUAUGGGUUGUAAACUUCUUUUAUAUGGGAAUAAAAUGUUCCACGUGUGGGAUUUUGUAUGUACCAUAUGAAUAAGGAUCGGCGAACUCCGUGCCAGCAGCCGCGGUAAUAAGGAGGAUCCGAGCGUUAUCCGGAUUUAUUGGGUUUAAAGGGCGCGUAGGUGGAUUGUUAAGUCAGUUGUGAAAGUUUGCGGCUCAACCGUAAAAUUGCAGUUGAAACUGGCAGUCUUGAGGACAGUAGAGGUGGGCGGAAUUCGUGGUGUAGCGGUGAAAUGCUUAGAUAUCACGAAGAACUCCGAUUGCGAAGGCAGUUCACUGGACUGCAACUGACACUGAGGCUCGAAAGUGUGGGUAUCAAACAGGAUUAGAUACCCGAGUAGUC
rnacentral:rRNA from 1 species